rnacentral:rRNA from 1 species
UACGGAGGGGGCUAGCGUUGUUCGGAAUUACUGGGCGUAAAGCGCACGUAGGCGGCUUUGCAAGUUAGAGGUGAAAGCCCGGGGCUCAACCCCGGAAUUGCCUUUAAAACUGCAUCGCUUGAAUUGUGGAGAGGUAAGUGGAAUUCCGAGUGUAGAGGUGAAAUUCGUAGAUAUUCGGAAGAACACCAGUGGCGAAGGCGACUUACUGGACACAUAUUGACGCUGAGGUGCGAAAGCGUGGGGAGCAAACAGG